AAGUCGUAACAAGGUUUCCGUAGGUGAACCUGCGGAAGGAUCAUUAACGAAUUUAAUAUCAUCUUUUUAUGUGAACUCUUAUCCAUUAGGAUUUGAUGCUUCGGCUUGGCGAUUUAUAUUGCCAGGCCGGUAGAAAACUCUUUAAACCUUUGUCUAACCCUAAAGAUUUUAAUGUUAAAACUUUCAACAACGGAUCUCUAGGUUCUC
rnacentral:misc_RNA from 1 species